AAAGCACAAAAAAAUAAAUUUUUCAAACCAAAUUAAACAUCAUGAAAAUCUUUUUUUAUUUCUCCAUCCUUUUACUUGUUCUUUCCAUUGGUUUUGAAAAUAACCAAUUGCAAGUAAUAGCACAAGCGGACAAAUGUUGUGCUACAGAAGUAGGCAACAUUUAUUGUCUUCCACCUGCAGAACCA